CAUAAGGCAUCAGUGGCUAUGAAGUGCCAAAGGAUCCUGCAGAAGCCUCAUGGAAAGGGGAAACAGCUCACACAAAUGGAAUCAGAUUUUGUUUCCAAGAACUGAAUCAUCUGCUUCUCAAGCGCAAUCAAUCCGCUACAGGAAAACCAGGUAAUACUGAACAAUACUGAGCAAUUUUGUUGGAGUAUUACAUGCAACUCAAUUUCCUCUGAUGUGAAUGC